CGGCGCGAGCAGGCGCGCGCCGCCGCCCCGCGUCCUCCUGCGGCCCGAGCCGGGGCCCCGCCGCCGCCGCCGCCGCCGCCGCCCUCGCGCGGGGAGCCAUGGAGGGAGUGAGCGCGCUGCUGGCCAGCUGCCCCACGGCCGGCCUGGCCGGCGGCCUGGGGGUCACGGCGUGCGCCGCGGCCGGCGUGCUGCUCUACCGGAUCGCGCGGAGGAUGAAGCCAACGCACACGAUGGUCAACUGCUGGUUCUGCAACCAGGACACACUCGUGCCCUACGGGAACCGCAACUGCUGGGACUGCCCCCACUGCGAGCAGUACAACGGCUUCCAGGAGAACGGCGACUACAACAAGCCCAUCCCUGCCCAGUACAUGGAGCACCUGAACCACGUGGUGAGCAGCGCCCCCAGCCCCCGCGACCCCGCGCAGCCGCAGCAGUGGGUGAGCAGCCAGGUGUUGCUGUGCAGGAGGUGCAGCCACCACCAGACCACCAAGAUCAAGCAGCUGGCUGCCUUCGCGCCGCGCGAGGAGGGCAGGUACGACGAGGAGAUCGAGGUGUUCCGGCACCACCUGGAGCAGAUGUACAAGCUGUGCCGGCCGUGCCAGGCGGCCGUCGAGUACUACAUCAAGCACCAGAACCGCCAGCUGCGCGCCCUGCUGCUCAGCCACCAGUUCAAGCGCCGGGAGGCCGACCAGCCCCACACGCAGAGCUUCUGCUCCUCGGCGGUCAAGGCCCCGGUGCAGGUGGUCCUGCUGCGCGCCCUGGCCUUCCUGGCCUGCGCCUUCCUGCUGACCGCCGCACUCUAUGGCCCCAGCGACCCCUGUGCCCCAGGAGCCGCCCUGCCUCCAGCCCUGCCACCUGGUGGCAACAGCUCCGCCACGCCUGACAAUGGCACCGCUGCUGGGGCUGAGAGCUGGCGGCAGCUGCUGGGCCUGCUGCCGGAACCCGCGACGGAGAAGCUGCGUGAGGCCUGGGCCUUCGGGCAGAGCCACCAGACGGGCGUCGUGGCGCUGGGCCUGCUCACCUGCCUGCUGGCCAUGCUGCUGGCUGGCCGCAUCAGGCUGCGCAGGAUCGACGCCUUCUGCAGCUGCCUGUGGGCCCUGCUGCUGGGGCUGCACCUGGCCGAGCAGUACCUGCAGGCCGCCUCGCCCAGCUGGCUGGACACGCUCAAGUUCAGCACCACGUCCCUGUGCUGCCUGAUGGGCUUCACAGCAGCUGUGGCCACGAAGAAGGCGACGGGCCCGCGGCGCGCCCGGCCCCGAAGGUACCUCCCAGGAGACACCACUGGCCUCUGCCCCACCAGCCCCAGCCUGGCCGUGCCUUACCCAGCUGUUGGAGGCGCCUCGCCAUCCCUCUUCAUCCCCACCCCACCUGGCUUCCGGCCGCUCACCAGCCAGCAGCUGUUCCGGUCUGCCCGGCGGGCCUCGCCCUCCUCGCUGCCCGGCCGCCUCAGCCGGGCGCUCUCACUGGGAACCAUCCCCUCUCUGACUCGAGCAGGCCAUUUUCCACCUGCUGGGCACAUCUGCAGGGAGCUGGACCAGAAGCAGAGUAGCCAGGACUGGAACCAGUGUGCUCACGUGGGAUGCCGGCUUCGCGAGCUGUGCCUUGACCCUUUCUGCCCUGACGUCAGCCCCUCAGCUGCUGUAGGCGCCAGACUUGGCAAUGAGCAGUCAGACAACGUCAGCUUUGUGUCAGGCAGCCCGGGGUCCCUCUGCUGCUGAGACCUGGGGUUCGGCUCCUCAGGCCGCUUCUAGCCCUGUCCUGUGCGCAGUGCACGUGCCCCACAGCAGGGACAGGUCCUGGAGGGAGGCAGCUUCCGAGCCGAGGGGAAGGGGUUCGGGCCUGCUGGGUCGGAUUGGGCAGGCCUGCACUCUGGGUGUUUCUGGGUAGCCAACCAUGAGCCGGGUGGCUGGGGGAGGCUGGCUGCUGCCUGUGCCCUGAGCCCUGGGCCAGCACCAGGCCCUGCACCAGGCCAGCACCAGGCCAGCACCAGGCCCUGCACCAGGCUUCGGGGAUUUGGCAGGCAAGUUCCGGCUCAGGCCCUGCGUGCUGGUGGAGCCUCCAUGGGUGGGCACCUGGUGAGCCUGCAGCCGGUCCCCUCCCUAAGGGAGUGCUCCGGGGGGGGCACCCUCGGGCCUCUGCAGCACCAGAGUCCCACACCGACUGCCCCAGCGCUAUGGCUAGCUUUGUGCCGUAGAAAUAAGCUGAUCCUGGUUUGUCAUCCCGGGGCGUGCAGGCGGGGACUUGACCUCUGAGGGGAGCAGUUUCUGCCCCUCGUGGAGCCCACGCCCACGCCGCACAUCUGCGCUGCUGUGUCACCUUUGUGACACCUGGGGCCGGUGAGGUGCACCGCGCAGAUUUGCCAUGAGAGUCAAAUGCGGGGAAUUUAAGUACUGGGGGCAGCCAGGGCCCCGGGGGCCUCGCGCACAAGGCGUAGGCCUGGGCAGGUGCGUGCACCCUGCGCCCAUCUCCUGAUCCCUUCAUCUGAAGGGGAGCCAUGGAGUCUGCCCUGUGAUGGGAGGGAGUGAGCUCGUCAGGGAAGCAGCUGGAGCCGGCCCUGGACACACGUGGCCGCCGUCACUCUCCUAGGCUGGGGGGCCUGGUGCCAGCCAAGGCCCCUCCCUGGCCGCUCACUGCUCCCUCGAGCUCACUGCAGGGUGGUUUCACUCUUCCCUGAUUUGUGGGGUGGGGGCAGACUGGGCCCCAGCACUGACUACCGGUGGAGGGGCUGGGACUUCUGCCUGAAGCCCCUUGGGAGGAGAGGCUCCCAGAGCCAGUGCAGGCCUUUAGGAUGGACCUCCCACCCCCCACCCCUCCCCCAGGACAGUGCCAUCUCCCUGCCAGCCUGAGGCAAAGGCCUAGGAGUGGCCAGUCUGAGGCGGCCACCGGCUUCUGCAGGCCUGGUCUGGGUGCAGACCAUCUGGUGCCGGAUGCGGUCCCUGGGUCCCCAUUGCCGGGAUGGAUCCCAGAGACAGGUUCCUGCAGGUGACCGGCUCACGUGACCAGCAUCCGGCUUGCUGUCUCAGCCUCUCUGUGCAGACCCCACCCCGCGUCCUACGGCUCAUGCCCAGCAGGGAGACCCUCUCCUGGCUCUGUAGAAAGGACCCUGGGAGGACUGAUUGGUGGGCCGGGGUUGUGGGUACGGGGCUGGCCCACGUCUGCAGCGAGCAGUCUCAGCUGGACGCUGGGACCCAGUCAUAGGUCACGUGAGGGGGACUGGGCCGAGCUCUUGGGGUGCACCUGACAUGGGAAGAGAGCACAUUUGGGGCUCUCGGGUCUGACACAGGCAGCCUGGGGCUGCGGUUAGUGGAGGAAGCGGGCCCUCCAAGGAAGAAAGGUCUAGAACAAGGAGCCCGAGGAGCCAUCCAGGCCAGCUCUUGCUACGGCCCAGCAUGCCUUGCGGUUUCUGUAUCUUCUAACUGGGCAUGUGCCCAGCACACCUCAGGCAGUGGUCCUGUGUCCACGGAAGGGUGGCGUUAACGGCAGAUCGGGGUUUGGCAGAUCUUCCCUGGGAGCCCGGGGUGGGGGGACAGAUGGGGAGUGAGCAGCCUGACAGGCCGUGUCUCUCCUAGACUCCGGCUACCUGUUCAGCGGGAGCCGCCCACCGUCUCAGGUGUCCCGAUCUGGGGAGGUCCCUGUUGCAGAUUACUUCUCUCUGCUUUCUGGAAGCUGCCCCGCCUCCCCCCUCCCUUCCCCGGCGCCCUCCGUGGCCGGCUCCGUG